rnacentral:rRNA from 1 species
CCUACGGUAGGCAGCAGUGAGGAAUAUUGGUCAAUGGGCGGAAGCCUGAACCAGCCAAGUAGCGUGCAGGAUGACGGCCCUACGGGUUGUAAACUGCUUUUAUACGGGAAUAACGCGCCUUACGUGUAGGGCUUUGCAUGUACCGUAUGAAUAAGGACCGGCUCAUUCCGUGCCAGCAGCCGCGGUAAUACGGAAGGUCCGGACGUUAUCCGGAUUUAUUGGGGUUAAAGGUGGCGUAGGCCGCAUGUCAAGCGUGCUGUGAAAUGUCCGGUCCCAACCCGGGCCUUGCAGCGCGAACUGGCGUGCUUGAGUCCGCGGAAAGCAGGCGGAAUUCGUCGUGUAGCGGUGAAAUGCUUAGAUAUGACGAAGAACACCGAUUGCGAAGGCAGCUUGCUGCAGCGGAACUGACGCUGAUGCUCGAAAGCGCGGGUAUCGAACAGGAUUAGAUACCCUAGUAGUC